AUUAAUGGAACCAUUCAAGAAAACAUACUUCUUGGGAGCGCAUCGAGCGACCGCAUCUUGGUAUCAGUAAAGAACUGUGUGUCCGUCUCAUAACGCAAUGUGCACCACACCCCAAGAAAUGCUGCCCCCAUCUGGCCAGAAAUGAUCUUAUUCUGCCUGCCAGAGAUUAUGCGAUCCAGGCAUGCCACGCAACGCUCAUAUGGCAUAUCCCGUAUGCACUGCGCCAGCCCAUACACCGUCUGUCCUGUCUCCUCAAACCACACUUUGCCGACUGCAUAUUUUUCUGCUCGGCUCACCACAACAUCAGCAAGCGCAUGCAGCAGCUUGGUGACAAGGUCUUCAUAACGCUCGGUUACUACAGUGGCCGUCACAGAAUUCAGGUUAGUAUUCACGGUGCACCCGGGCAUGUCACUGAAGUUGGAAAGGAAGUCCUGGUCGGAGAAGCUUAUCUGUGCCUGGUAUUGGUCGUAG
rnacentral:rRNA from 1 species